CCGCUUAGCACACCAACACUCCAUCGGGAGUGAGGGGAGUCGUAGCCAGAUCGUCAUUCUUGUGACCAUAUCGGUCCCCGACACAAACUCCAUCACCCAUGGUUCGACGGCGAGAAGCUGACCCGCAACGAUCCAUGGACCUCCAUUCAAAAUGGCAUCCCUCUCCUCUGCCGACUGGAAACGGAAGAGCAAAUGCUCUUCGGCCAACGAGAAAGCCUCGAUACCCCCCUUCAACUUCCCUUUCUCCUUAAAAUUCUUCGAGAUCCAAUCGAUCGGGACUCGCCGGCCAAAGCUCCUGGCCAGAACGGAAACAUUCUCCCACUUCCCCCGCUCCAUUUCAUCUUUUGGGAACUCCAAAACCGUCGUAAAAUAUCGUUGAAGUUGCUCGACCUCCACCGCCGUUAUCUUGUGCGAGGUCCACCCUGCUUGCCUCGCGUUAUAACCUAGAGACUAGAGUUCUAAGAAGAAUUAUAGAAGAACAGAACCAGAGAAAGAAGAAGAAACCGUCAGAGAGAAUCAGAAAGAAGACUUUAUUCACAUCUCACUCCCUAUAUUACAGUUACUGACUACAAGUAUUUAUACCAAAGUCUCUAACAACAUUCUAACUAAUUACAACAAAUCCAGCUCAUUGCGUAACAACCUCUUCUCCCGCCAUUGCAUUCAGCUGCUUCAGCCAACCAGAACUCUUCAGUUAGUUAGAACUGUUAACCUCCGUCUUUCUCAAAUCCAUCGUUUUUGCCCAACAUCUUUCUUUCAUCCUUUUGCUUAUCCGCACCGUCUUGAUAAUUCCGCUUGGACGUACCGUUUAAUCCCUCAGUUCGUAACAAUAUUCCCGUCCCCAAGAUUCCUUGUCCCCAAGGAAAAGAAUGGGAAAUGCAGCUGAAAAUCAUCAGCAAAUUCCCACAUCGCAUCCACAGGAGAGGAACUCUGCCAAUGAACAAGAAACUGAGUAGCUGCAGCAUUCUUACGUUUCACCAUACGGCGGUCAAGUAUAGCCUGAGGAAGAACUGUAGACUGAUGAGAGAGAGGUGGAAGUUCAGAGGAUGCUACCACUGAUGCAUGAGCAGGUUUCGAAAGGGACACAUGGAACACAUUGUG
rnacentral:lncRNA from 1 species